ACACAGCAGCAGAAACAGCAUCAGGUUCAGGAGCCCCUUGAUGAGAAUUUGUUCUCUGAUCUUAUUGUUCAAAACCCGCUUGAUCAGCCAGAACCAGAACCACGGCCUCCUUCUGCUACUGCCUUCUCUCGUCAGACUUCUUCUACACCAUCCCCGUUGGCAGAAGACCAUGAGCGAGAGCAAAAGCAAGAUCUUGAGCACCCCAAGCCUGAAUCAUUGAAUUUAACACAGCAGCAGCAACAGCAUCAGGUUCAGGAGCCCCUUGAUGAGAAUCUUUUCUCUGAUCUUACUGUUCAAACCCGGCUUGAUCAGCCAGAACCAGAACCACGGCCUCCUUCUGCUGCUACUGCCUUAUCUCGUCAGACGUCUUCUAGCUAUAGAAAGAAAAAGAGAGCUACUGGAUUCAGGAUUGGAUAUGGCAGAGAUUAUCAGAGUAACAAUAAUGUUGAUAGUCAUGAUAAUCAAUUC
rnacentral:lncRNA from 1 species